UACGUAGGGAGCAAGCGUUGUCCGGAAUCAUUGGGCGUAAAGCGCGCGUAGGUGGCUUCGUAAGUCCGUUGUGAAAGUCAAAGGCUCAACCUUUGAAAGCCGAUGGAUACUGCGGAGCUAGAGUACGGAAGAGGCGAGUGGAAUUCCUGGUGGUAAGCGGUGGAAUGCGCAGAUAUCAGGAGGAACACCAAUAGCGAAGGCAGCUCCGCUGGGACGUACUGACACUGAGGCGCGAAAGCGUGGGGAGC
rnacentral:rRNA from 1 species